UUUUUUUUUUUUUUUGCCAGUAAGAGUGCUGUUAGAGAAACGGGAUGAGUUAAUUUCCAGGCUCCAUUUUACAAAUUGGCACCUCUUCCGUUUGCCUUCGCCCAAAACCCUGAACAACCAAGCACCACCUCCCAUACAGAGCAGGAUGACAAAAGAAAGCCUUCAUGUGUAUGGCCUUUUGAAGGAUGAGUUCACUGAAGCCCCCUGUGAUGCCGCAGUCUCCAUCAGCCUACACAACAGGCAGCCUCGCAAGAUUCCUGGCUCCCUGCCUUUCCCGGGCAAGCUGUCAUUGGUGAGGCUAACAAUGGCGCUGGUCUUGGCGACAGUGGAUAUCCAUCCAUGGGAACCUGGCCUGGGACCAGCAGGCCUCUGAACUUCCUAUACACUUCAUUAUUAAUCACGGCCAGCUGUAAUACUUGCGGAGGUUCUUUGAAGGCGGUCUUAUAGAGGGUGUCAGAGAGCAUUUAAGGAAGGGUGUGUGUGUGGGGGGGCACUGAGGGGGUGAAGUCCCAGGUCCUCAGCUGGAAAGACAAGGGUCCCCUGGGACUGUUCAUCUUAAGAGUUAACAUUGUAUGGGGCAGGAAAAUCCAG
rnacentral:lncRNA from 1 species